AAAUAUUACAAUUUCUCAGAAUGAUAAUACGGUCCGACAUACCAGGGUUGUUAAGAAAAUCGUCGGUCGUAUAGCUAACGGGCCUGCGUAUGCCAUACAUCUAGUAAUGACACGAGUACCCAGAACAGUUAAACAAAUUACGUCAUUGGCCUGUGUUGGAUACUGACUAUGAAGUAACUGGAUAACCGAAAAUUCUAGUGCAUUCCUACCGGUUGAUGAACCCUUCGAGUGAAUCCAUACAUUCGGA